AGCGAACGCUGGCGGCGUGCUUAACACAUGCAAGUCGAACGUGAAUGGGAGCAAUCCCUAGUAAAGUGGCGUACGGGUGAGUAAUGCAUAGGUAAUCUACCCCAAAGUUUGGAAUAACCUGCCGAAAGGCGGGCUAAUACUGGAUAGAGCGAUGGAAUCCGUAAUUGGGUUUUUCGGAAAGGGAGGAAGCAAUUCCCUUCGCUUUGGGAUGAGCCUAUGUCUCAUUAGCUAGUUGGCGGGGAAUGGCCCACCAAGGCUUUGAUGGGUAGCUGGUCUGAGAGGAUGAUCAGCCACACUGGAACUGAAACACGGUCCAGACUCCUACGGGAGGCAGCAGUGGGGAAUCUUGCGCAAUGGACGAAAGUCUGACGCAGCCACGCCGCGUGAGUGAAGAAGGCC
rnacentral:rRNA from 1 species